UCUUAAGAAUUUUAAGAAUCUGAAGUAGUAAAAAUUGAAACUUAAAAAUUUUGGCAGUAUUCAAUUUUUUAGAGAAAUAUGUAAUUUAAUCGAAAAUACACGAAAAUCUUACUUAUUUUCAUUUUGUAUAUCUCCGUUGACAGAUUUUUAUAAAAAUCAAAAUAAUUUUCUAAAAAUAAAAUAUGAAACAUCAGGUCAAGGUGCAGAAUAAAUAAGUUAUUAUGUAUUACAUUCAAGUUUAUUGAGAUGGAUAAAUAAUUGAAAUAUUAUUUUAAAAAUGAAUUUAUAAGUAAAAUAAAAGAAUGAUUUUAUUUGAAAUAUUAUUGAAUAUGU
rnacentral:rRNA from 1 species